GCAGCAAUAAUGGUUCCUAAUAACAACAUUAAUACUGCUUUGAUGGAGAUCCACUUGGGGUUUUCAACACCCUCUACAACCUCAUUGCUUUGAUCCUCCACUUGAUCCUCAAGCCCCAACAGAGCAUGUUCCCUCUUUGCUUGCCGCUGAAAGUUAUCUAAAUACGUGAAUGUCCGAGAGCUGGGGUCAGUUAUGACUGCCCCUGAUCGCUUUGCCUCUUCAAUCCAUUUGGAGAUACCAUGGACGAACUCAUUACAAUCAAUAUAAUUAUCGCGCCUAAUAAUAUCAAAAUCUUUCAUUAUUUUAUCCACAGCAUCAUCCCUAUCAAAGUUAAUCUCUUCAAAACGAAUUCCUAAUAUCAGCGCUUUUAAUUCAGAAGCUGAGAGUCUACCAUCAUGAUUCUCAUCAAUAGCAUGAAACAACUUUUCCAUCACAUCUUUGUUAGGUUGACCAUCAUCAGUCAGGAACCUUCCC
rnacentral:misc_RNA from 1 species